GACGAACGCUGGCGGCGUGCCUAAUACAUGCAAGUAGAACGCUGAAGGCGGAGCUUGCUCUUCUGGAUGAGUUGCGAACGGGUGAGUAACGCGUAGGUAACCUGCCUGGUAGCGGGGGAUAACUAUUGGAAACGAUAGCUAAUACCGCAUAACAGUAGAUGUUGCAUGACAUUUACUUAAAAGGUGCAAUUGCAUCACUACCAGAUGGACCUGCGUUGUAUUAGCUAGUUGGUGGGGUAACGGCUCACCAAGGCGACGAUACAUAGCCGACCUGAGAGGGGGAUCGGCCACACUGAGACGGAGACACGGCCCAGACGCCUACGGGAGGCAGCAGUAGGGAAUCUUCGGCAAGGGACGGAAGUCUGACCGAGCAACGCCGCGUGAGUGAAGAAGGUUUUCGGAUCGGAAAGCUCUGUUGUAAGAGAAGAACGAGUGUGAGAGUGGAAAGUUCACACUGUGACGGUAUCUUACCAGAAAGGGACGGCUAACUACGUG
rnacentral:rRNA from 1 species